CAGUAGCCGCGGUAACACGAAGGGUGCAAGCGUUAAUCGGAAUUACUGGGCGUAAAGCGUGCGUAGGCGGUUUGUUAAGUCUGCUGUGAAAUCCCCGGGCUCAACCUGGGAAUGGCAGUGGAUACUGGCAAGCUAGAGUGUGUCAGAGGAUGGUGGAAUUCCCGGUGUAGCGGUGAAAUGCGUAGAGAUCGGGAGGAACAUCAGUGGCGAAGGCGGCCAUCUGGGACAACACUGACGCUGAGGCACGAAAGCGUGGGGAGCAAACAGGAUUAGAUACCCCCGUAGUCCCUGUCUCUUAUAC
rnacentral:rRNA from 1 species